GCCGCCUCCGCCCUUGUUUUGCUUCUCAUGAAUAUGCCGCGGAGGGGUCGGGGCGGUGCCGACUGCGAGCGCGGCGCGGAGCCCGACAAACCCUUGGUCUCCUGCGCACCACCUUUAGCUGUGACUGUGUAGCUUUGGACUCCUCCCUGCUCACUUCCUCUGCCUGUCCGAAGAGAGCUCCUGGCUUGGUUUGAACAUUUCCCAUAUGAACAUGGAGGCGUCCCAGGGGCUGACGUGUGCAUCAAGUUCAUCGAGCCUCAACCCAGGUGCCACCAUGGCCUCCCAGACGCACCCCCUGCAUUCCUCACCUCCCUGCCCUACCUCCAAUGGCGGCACGGGGGCCAGAGGUGGGGAGCCGGCGGGCAGCCCUAGGACAGGUGACACUCGCCUGAAGCCGCCGGUCGGGCCCAAACCCCGCACGCUGCCCAAGCCGGCUGUACCAGCCAAGCCCUGCACCCCGCCGCCAUCCCCUGGGUCGCGGCCCCCGCGCCUUGAGUUCCCCUCUGCCGAGAAGAUCAACCUGCUGGCAGGUCCCAAGCCGUACAGUGGCAGCAGCACCUCCCUUAAACGCCUGUCCUUCAGCCUCAAGAGCCCCCCAGCGGAGACCUCCACUGCAAAGGGGGCACCGCCACCCGCAGUCAGAGCCCUGCCCUCUACCACAGAAGAGAGAUCGCUGGCUCCUGUGACGCCCCCUGCGGGGGGGCCCCUAGGAGUUCUCAAGGGCGCUGCCCUGUUCAAAGUGAAGCCGGUGCCGGUGGUGGCCAAGCCGGAGCGCUUCCCCGGAACCACGGUGGAAGAGAUCUUGGCCAAGAUGGAGCACCCCCGCAAAGAAGGUCCGGGCAGUCCCGACCUGGCCUGGGGCCGGCGCUCAACCUUCAGCCCUGACAGCAGCUCCCGCUUCGGGCCCAAAAGCUAUGCCGCUUUCUGGAGACACCCUAGUGCUGAGGGAGGGGAAGGUGACGCUGUCACCCCUGGCUUUGAGGCCUCCUGGGAAUCUGGGUCCCCGGAAGCUCAGGAGAGGAGAGCGUCCUGUGGGGACAAGCCGGUCGCUGGCAGGACGAAGAGAGAAGGAAGCCCGAGUCCCAUUGGAGAACGCCCGCCAGAGCCCCCAGACGGAGAAGCAGAGCGAGACUUUGGCACAGCCUCCAGGACCAGUGGCUCUUCCCCGGCCAGCACCAACUGCGACGGGGACCAGUCCGGACGCAGGAAGCCGCGAUCCCCCCCUGGUUUCUCCUUGGCCCGGACCUGCCCCAUCCCCGUGGCUCCUGCUGAGCUCCCACUUGGGGCGGCCCCCGGCACCUCUGCUGGCCUUGCCCGGGCCCCAGGGGCCCCCAUCCUUCCUGCCGAGCAUCCUGCCUCAGCCCCAGGGUCUCCCGCUGUGCCUGUCGAGCGCCCUGCACUUGGCUCCACCCCUACCGACACUGAGCUCCCCUCCAAGGUCGGGCCUGGCUUCCCAGGCACCCCAGAGUCUCUGGCUAAGAUCCCCAUAGGACUGUUUCUGGCCCCCGGUGCCCCAGACGCUCCAGCUGAGCCCUGCCGCAGAAUCUCCCGCUCCCUGGGGUCUCUGGAGGUUCCUGGUGAGGGGUCCCCACCUCCGUCUAGUCUCCCCGCAGGCCUGGCACCAGGCAUUCCGGAUGCCUCCACAGAGCUCCCCCCCAGCCCUCCUGCAGUGCAGGCCCUGUCACCAGGCCCCCCUGAUGCCCCUGCCAGGCUCCCCCACAGCUCCUCUGCAGGGCAGGCCAUGGCACCAGGCUCCCCUGAUACCCCUGCCAGGUUCCCCCACAGCCCACCUGAAGGGUGGGCCCUAGCACCAGGCGCCCAUGAUGCCCCCACAGAGCUCACCCACAGCCCCCCUGCAGGGUGGGCCCUGGCACCAGGCCCCCCUCAUGCCCGUGCUGAGCUGCCCCCCAGAAUCACUCACUCCCCAGGGGCCCCCGAAGCGCCUGUUCCAUCCCCAGAGACCCCCAACCUGUGUCCUAAGCUCCCCACCAGAGUCUCUCGGUCUCCGGGGUCCCCUGAUAGACCUGCUGAGUCCCUGGUGUCCCCAUAUAGCCCCCCAUCUCCUGAGCGGGGCUCCCCUUCACCCCUCAGCGAUGCGGAGCCAUGUGCGGGGCCUGCGCCAGCGGACGAGAGCCUCCGGUGCCCGCAGCUGGGCCUACGGCGCUCCUCAGACGGGGUGGUGCAGCUGCCAGACAAGGGGCUAGGAAUGGGGGUGCUGGGGGGCUCCCUGGCUGCCCUGCCUCGGGGAGGGCCCCCUCACUCCGGGCCACCCCUGGAGGGCGAGUCCAACUGGGCCCUGUCGCAGUCGUUCGAGUGGGCGUUCCCAUCCCGGACUGCGGAGUGGGAGCCCCCCAGGUCCCCCAUCAGAGAGGCGGAUGACUCCGGCCUCUCUGAGCAGGGGGACUCGGAUGGGGAGGGCCUGGCCCCCACCCCCAAAGGGUCUGAGGAAAGGAGCAGCUCAGAGAGGCUGGAUUGGCAGGACGCCAAGGCUGCUGGGAGUUCUGCCCACCUAGAUGGUGCCACGGGGGCCCCAUGUGAUCAGGGAGCAACUGAGGUGGGAGGCACGGAGGCCACAUGUCCUGGAGGCCCCGUGGCAGAAACGGAGCCGGCCGUGGCUGAGCUGAAGGGCCCUGCAGUGGUGGAUGAGGCGGGCACUGUCUGGGAGGAGCAGGGCAGGCCACUCCUGGAUGCCCCCCUGCGUCUGACCGAGCCGAAACCAGGCCAGGAGAGAGCCGCCCCCAUCCUGUUGUCUGACACUCCCCGGCCAGCUGGCGCCGACCGAUGCCAGGAGGACAACUUGGUGCUGGGCCUGGCGCCGGUGAGGAGCUGCCAGGAGGGCCCGAGGCCGGGCGAGGAGGGUUCUGAGCCGCAUCCCAAUGCUCGCUGGCUGGAUGAGCUGCUGGCAUCGCCCCCGCCCAGUGCUGAUGAGACCAAGAGAAAGGGCACGCCUGAGCCCAGGGACCCUGCAGGGCCAGAGGAUCUCCUGGGCUGGUCGCGGAAGGAUCUGUGCAGCGAGUUCGGCAUCAGAGGGGCCCACCGGGCUGGUGAGUUUGGCUGGGCCACCGAUCCUGGCACGGGGAAGACCGACUGGCCCGGCAGUUACAGAGCCAGUGAGACGGAGCAGGAUCGGGAGUUUGGCACCGGCACACAGGACUGGAGCGGUGCAUACAAAGAGACGGAGCUGCUGGGCGAUUCCAGUGUGGGCCACGGAAACUGGCCCGACGCCUACGGCAUGGGGGACAGUUGCCAGAAGGACGGGGAGUUCAGCCCCGGUAAGCCAGACUGGAGCAGCCAAUACAACACUGGUGGUGCUGACAGCCCGGAUGGGGAGUUCAGUACCAGGAAACUGGACUGGACCAGCACCUAUGGCAUUGGGGACGGUGCCCAGCAGGACAAGAGGUUGAGUACUAGCAAGCCGGACUGGACCUGUGAGCACAGUGUCGGUGAUACAGCCCGGCAGGACAGAGACUUCGGUACCGGCAAGCCAGACUUGGCCUGUGAGCACAGUGUCGGUGAUACCGACCAACAAGAUAGAGAGUUCGGUACCGGCAAGCCAGACUGGACCCGCCAGCCCGGUGUCGGUGAUACAGCCUGGCAGGAUAGAGAGUACGGCACCAGCAAGCCAGACUGGACCCGCCAGCCUGGUGUCGGUGAUACAGCCUGGCAGGAUAGAGAGUACGGCACCAGCGAGCCAGACUGGACCUAUGAUCAUGGUGGUGGUAAUACAGACCAGCCGGAUAGAGAGUUCGGUACCAGCAAGCCAGACUGGAUCAACAUGUACGGUGUUGGAGAUACAGACCAACAGGACAGAGAGUUGGGUACCAGCAAGCCAAGCUGGCCCCUCGAGCACGGUGUCGGAGAUACAGACCAACAGGACAGAGAGUUGGGUACCAGCAAGCCAGGUUGGCCCCUCGAGCACGGUGUCGGAGAUACAGAGCAACAGGACAGAGAGUUGGGUACCAGCAAGCCAGGCUGGCCCCUCGAGCACGGUGUCGGAGAUACAGACCAACCGGAUAGAGAGUUGGGUACCAGCAAGCUAGACUGGACCCUUGAGUACGGUAUCAGUGAUACCAACCAUCAGGGUAAGGAGUUUGGUGCUGGGAAGCCAUCCUGGACCCAGGACUGCAGUGCCAAGACCAAUGGGCAGGGUAGAGAGUGGACCUGCGAAUACGAUGUUGGCAAUACCACCCAGCAGGACAAGCCAGAUUGGACCUGCGAGUUCAGGGUUGGUGAUGGUGCCCGGCAGGACAGAGCUUUCAGCCCUGACAAACCAGCUUGGCUUGGUGAAUAUGGCGUUCACCAUACAGACCGGGAGAGUGCCUUUGGCUCUGGUGUUGGAGACUCCGACAGCGCGGCCCAAGAGCCUGGUGCCGGGAAGCCUGGGUGGAGCGGCACCGACUGGCAGGAGAGCAAGUUCCCCUUCGCUAGAAGGGAUUGUGCCAGUGAUUUCAGGAUCAGAGGAGCUGAGCACGAAAGCCAGUUCGGCGUCAUUGGGACUGAGCGGGCGGGUGGCUUUGGCUUGAGCACUUUGGAUCCAUCUGGUGCCGUUGGGACCCUGGGCCCAGCAGAGCUUGGAGAGACCCGGACUGACUGGGCUGGCUAUACCAGGACUGUGGACCUGGAUGAGCCGAGAGAGGCUGGUGUGGGGCAGUCCGACUGGACCCAAGAGCUAGGCCUCAGUGGCACAGAUCCCUCUGUCGGCCUGGGAGCAAUCAGUCCUGAGGAGCCCAGUGGGGGAUGGAUGGACUGGACAAACAAACUGAGCGUGAGCAGCAUGGAUCCCUCCAGCAGUCUGAGGGUGGGGGGCUCCGAUACACCCAGAGAGCCUGGCGUGGGGCAGCCAGAUGGGGCCAGUGACCUUGGCCCGGGAGGCCCAGCCACAGCCAGUGGCUUUGAGAGCAUGGGCCCGGCAGAGACCAGAGUGAGACAGACUGAUUGGAGCCGUGAGCUUGGCUCUGGGGAUGAGGGCUCCGCUGAGACCAGGGAGGCUGGAGCAGGGCAGAUGGACUGGGCCAGCGAGGUCGGGAUCGUACAUGGGAAACAAACCUAUGCCACAGCCAUGGCUGGCUUGGAGCCGCAUGGAGACAGGUGAGGGCUGCGCUGGGUGCAUGAGGUUUGGGCUGAAGUGUAGGGUGCUCCAUCCUGGCCUUCACUGCUCAUCAGAGCAGCCGGUGACCCCAGUGGGUCCGAAGGGAGGGGGGCAGAUCUCAUCCCGAUACCAGUGUGGGGCUGUUUAGACAGAGUACUCUUGUUGUGGGGAUCAGCACUGCUGUGCUUUCCUAAAUGGCUGAUGCCUGUUUGCUGCUGAGCUCAUUGCUCUCAAACAUCCUGCAGCAGUGAGUUCCACUGCUUAACACCUCCUCUCCUUGGGGAUGCCUCCCUUGGACUGCCACCCAGGAUGGUCAUGCACCGCCUCGUGCUGGCUUGAUCAGGGCAGUUGGGUCGCAUUCUGCCCACUACCUUUGGACCCCCUCCUUCCUCUCCUGUUACCCUCCUUGCUUUGGCGCCUAGGCUUUGAGUCAAGUCGCUGCCUUGGCCACAGGAACAUUCCCGUUUGCAUCUUAGACCCCUUUCUUGCUGGCUCAGCUGGGCUUGGAUUUGAGCUGCCUGUGUCCCUGCCAGGAGCUCUGCUGUUCACCCACAGCCCGUUAGUUCAGGGCUGUAGGCGGCUGCCCAGGCAGGAGGUGCUGCCCCACCCGCAUGUCUCAGGGCAACUUUAUUCUUCAGCAUAGGCGGGACGUCCGCCCAGAGAGUCACUCCUCCACCUGCGCUGGGCUCCAGCACUGAGACACUUCCCUCCCAUCUCUGUGUGCUGAAAGGAGGGUACUCACCUCUGUUCAGCCCCCCUGAAUCAAAGCCCAGCUCCCUUCCCGGUGAGCUCCACCAGCCCGGUCUAGAACACCCCUUUCCAGCUGGCCCUGAGAGUCGAUCAGGGGUGGCCAGACACAGGCCCCUGGCCCAGGCGGGCAGGCUGUUCCUUACAACACUCCGUUGAUUACGUCUGGUGAAUUCCAUCUUUCCCUGGGUUUCCUGGCCUUGGGUGAGUGACCUUGGCCAUCCAGUAGCUUCGUCUCAUUGGCGAGUGUUGCCACCCAUCUAUUUUCUCCUCCCCAGUCCCUUGUCCAGUGCGUAGUCUAUGGUGCAUCAGGCCCAUGGGACUUUCUGCCACUAGCUUCCUCACGCUAGGAGAAUGGGCCGUCCAUGCUUACGGUGCUUCCUGUUUUAGAAUCCGAGACGGUGCUUCCCCUCCCGCCUUGGCGCCCAUGUUUUUAGUAGUCUCCAGUGCGGGGUCUUUUAUCUCAGCCAUUAGAGCCACUGAGCAAAGUCAUCAGCCCAACUGGAAAUGCCUUCAAGGGACCUCCUUCCCAGGUGCUUGGUGCUUUCUGAGAACUGAGCCCCUUUAAGCUGUCUCAGAUUGGUCCCCCCCAAAAUGGAGGCCCCCCCCAAAUCAUUAACCACUGUGGAAAUUGGAAGCCUGUUUCAUCUCCCAGAUCCUAGUCACCUGAGCCCUCACCAAAUGACACAUUCAGAGUAGGAGGGAGGGCCACACUUUGAACAGCUGCAACAGACGGUCAAGGGAGAUAGUGAAUAUUUCCAUCCCUUGAUGUCUUCAGAUGAAGCCUGGCCACCCUCCGGGAAGACAAGCGUGAGUCAAACACAAGUCACUGAGCUCAGGGGUGGGGGUUAACUGGGUGUGUUAUGCAGAAGGUCGGGCUAGAUUGGUCUCUUCUGGCCUUCAUGCCUAUGAAAGGGGGAAGUUCCAGAAUUGGGGGGAGGGAGGGUCAGGGAGAGGGAGGAGAGCGAAGCCAACAUGUUGGAGCAGAGUGGGGGGGGGGGCAGGACCCAGAUCGGUGUCCCAGCCUAGAGCCCAGCCCCAUGGCCCAUCUCUCUGCACGGGAGCUGGGCUGCUUUGGAGACGUCUCGUGUGCCGUGGCACUGCCCUUAAAGCAGUGGUUCUCGAACUUUUGUACCCGUGACCCCUUUCACGUAGCAAGCCUCAGAGUGCGAUUCCCCCCUUAUAGAUUAAAACCACUUUUUAAUAUAUUUAACACUAUUAUAAAUGCUGGAGGCAAAGCGGGGUUUGGGGCGGAGGCUGACAGCUCAUGACCUCCCAUGUAAUAACCUCAUGACCCCCAGUUUGAGAGCCCCGGCCUUAAAGCCUCAUCAUCACCCCUCCCCUCCCGUGGAGUAGCUGUUCUCAACUGGUCUCCUUUCGUUCACUGGCUUAGUGCUUCAGAUUCCUUCCCAGCUCUCAGGCAAUGUGUCCCUACCAUGUUCCUCGGCGGGAUCUAACAGCUUCGCUUGGCCUGUAUGGAGUAACCAGGGGUUGGGGUCCGAGUUCCCUGUAAGCUGCAGGGCCGCACAACAGCCUAUUUAAUGCCAUGCAGACAUUGAGGGAACCCCCCAGGGGAGGGGCGGCCAGGGGAGGGGAGCCCCUCGUCUGGCUCCCAACCCGACCUGGACCUGCCGUGG